AGAGUUUGAUCCUGGCUCAGGACGAACGCUGGCGGCGCGCCUAACACAUGCAAGUCGAACGGAGCUGUUUUCUCUGAAGUUUUCGGAUGGAAGAGAGUUCAGCUUAGUGGCGAACGGGUGAGUAACACGUGAGCAACCUGCCUUUCAGUGGGGGACAACAUUUGGAAACGAAUGCUAAUACCGCAUAAGACCACAGUGUCGCAUGGCACAGGGGUCAAAGGAUUUAUCCGCUGAAAGAUGGGCUCGCGUCCGAUUAGCUAGAUGGUGAGGUAACGGCCCACCAUGGCGACGAUCGGUAGCCGGACUGAGAGGUUGAACGGCCACAUUGGGACUGAGACACGGCCCAGACUCCUACGGGAGGCAGCAGUGGGGAAUAUUGCACAAUGGGGGAAACCCUGAUGCAGCGACGCCGCGUGGAGGAAGAAGGUCUUCGGAUUGUAAACUCCUGUCCCAGGGGACGAUAAUGACGGUACCCUGGGAGGAAGCACCGGCUAACUACGUGCCAGCAGCCGCGGUAAAACGUAGGGUGCAAGCGUUGUCCGGAAUUACUGGGUGUAAAGGGAGCGCAGGCGGAUUGGCAAGUUGGGAGUGAAAUCUAUGGGCUCAACCCAUAAAUUGCUUUCAAAACUGUCAGUCUUGAGUGGUGUAGAGGUAGGCGGAAUUCCCGGUGUAGCGGUGGAAUGCGUAGAUAUCGGGAGGAACACCAGUGGCGAAGGCGGCCUACUGGGCACUAACUGACGCUGAGGCUCGAAAGCAUGGGUAGCAAACAGGAUUAGAUACCCUGGUAGUCCAUGCCGUAAACGAUGAUUACUAGGUGUGGGAGGAUUGACCCCUUCCGUGCCGCAGUUAACACAAUA
rnacentral:rRNA from 1 species